AGUGAACGCUGGCGGUAGGCCUAACACAUGCAAGUCGAACGGCAGCACAGUAAGAGCUUGCUCUUACGGGUGGCGAGUGGCGGACGGGUGAGGAAUACAUCGGAAUCUACUUUUUCGUGGGGGAUAACGUAGGGAAACUUACGCUAAUACCGCAUACGACCUACGGGUGAAAGCAGGGGAUCUUCGGACCUUGCGCGAUUGAAUGAGCCGAUGUCGGAUUAGCUAGUUGGCGGGGUAAAGGCCCACCAAGGCGACGAUCCGUAGCUGGUCUGAGAGGAUGAUCAGCCACACUGGAACUGAGACACGGUCCAGACUCCUACGGGAGGCAGCAGUGGGGAAUAUUGGACAAUGGGCGCAAGCCUGAUCCAGCCAUACCGCGUGGGUGAAGAAGGCCUUCGGGUUGUAAAGCCCUUUUGUGGGGAAAGAAAAGCAGCAGGUUAAUACCCCGCUGUUCUGACGGUACCCAAAGAAUAAGCACCGGCUAACUUCGUG
rnacentral:rRNA from 1 species